rnacentral:lncRNA from 1 species
UAAAGGUGGAGGAGAGCAGCCUGCAUCCUGGAGGGCACCCGGGAGGCAGAGGAGAGGAGGGAGGAGUCAGAGGGGGAGGUGCACCCUUUAGGUCACGCCGGACUGCCAGCAGCAAGCGCGCUACAGCGCCCCAGUCCAGUCCCCUUCCCAAAGCCCUUCGGAUUCACGCGGAGGGCUUCUGGGAGGCACCUAGGUCUCAACCAAGCACAGUGAACAAACCAGUGCCCCCGAUGUUUGCCCGUAGGCUGAUCAAAGCGGUGCACGGUGUUGCUCGGACACCCAGAGACCCCACAGAGUCCGACCAGCUCAGCAGAGAACAGAAUGGGAGCGGCAUUUCCGCAGCCCCGUGAGCCUCGCCCCUUUGAGACCAGGCCCAGGAGUAUGUUUUGGGGAUGUGAUCAGCCAGCCGGUCUCAGCAGGGGCGGCCUGGGAGGCUGUCCCCAAGUGUCCUGGAGAAACGCGCCGGGCGCUGGAGCAAGAGCUGCGGUGUCAGUCUCGGGAAGCUGUUCUCUUUUGAGCUCUGCAAACCUGUUCAUAACAGCCUUAGGAGAAGAAGGAGAAUUUGCAGAGCUGUCCACAGUAGCAGUGAGGUUGGAGGGCGAGCCAUUGCUUCUUGGAUCAGAAUUCCAGGAUGGAUUCAGGACCCCAGGCAGGAUGACGACAACACCCUCAGUAACAUUGUCCAGGUAACCGUGCAGAGGGUUUCGUGUGGCUUGCCCUGAAGAUGAUUCAGCGAAGACCUUACCCUCAUAGACCAAUGUACACCUGUCAGAACUACUCAAUCACAAAAACCGAGUUUGGCAUUUCAAAGUAAACGCAUUAUUUUCUAUGGAAUUGCCGUCGUUUGCUGUGGGAAUAUCGCGGACCCAUUAGCAGCAAAAACAGAUGGGAUGAGAUUUGUCUUCAUGCAUGAGCUGGGAUGUUGAGAAGAUAUAAACUGCGAGCCAUAAACUCGGUCCCCACACUGCGGAGGGUGCUGUGGUACAGAGAGUGGCAGAAGGGGCACAGCCAGCCGUGACCUCCUUCAGGCCCUGGAGCCUUAACUCCAGAAGUCUUUAAGGGAGCCAAUGAAGAAGUCUAGAAAUCAUGAGAUCCAUUCGAGCAACACUUUGAGCAAGCUUUGCAGAGGAGAGCACUGCUCUUCCCUAGAUCUAGUCCACUCUUUCGGCUCACAGAGCCACCGCUGAUCCCGAGGUCCUGGGAGGACGCCUGGGGACCUUUCUGUGCUCUUCUUCCUUCCACUCUGCUCCCUGCUUGGUCUCCAAGUCAGCCUCCGCCGCCCAGGCAGCUGCCGUCAGCCUGGCUCUUGCUCUGUCCCACAGUUACAGAGAGUGGUGGUGUAGGCAUACAGACGUAUCGGUGUAACACAGGUCCCCAGGUCAAAGCGA